rnacentral:piRNA from 1 species
UAAUUCUCUGUCCCUUCAAGGUGUUCUCCC